GAAAAAACAAAACAGGUACAGAAAAACACACAAAACAAAUAGAUAGCUUAAUGAGUUAUUACAAAGCAAACACUUUUGUAAUCACCAACCAAGCCAAGAAAUAGAGCUCUGCCAACCCUCACCCCCACCCAAAAGCCCCUCCAUAUACUCAUUCCAAUGAUAACCUCCUCUCUCCACAAAAGUAGCCACCAUUCUGAGCAUUAUAGCAAUCAUGGCUUUCUUUACAGUAUUAUCACCCAAGUGUAAUAAGACAUCCAAGUGUACAUUCCUGGACUAUUAUUUAGUCUUAUCUGCUAAGCAAUGUUUCCUUUUAAGUCUCUUUUAAUCUAUAGGUUCCUCCUCCAAUCCUUUUCUUUACACCCUGUUAAAGAACACAGAUCACUUAACCUGUACACUCUCCUACACUCUAAAUGCUGCUGACUGUACACCCAUGGUUCAACAAGUUUCUCUGUCUUCAUUUCCUUUAUAUUGUUUGCUGGGUCCAGAGGCAUGAUUAGAUUCAAGUCUUCCUCUGGGAAGACUAGGUGCUGUGGUCUGAAUGUUUGUGUCCCCCCUAAAUUCAUAUGUUGAAAUCCUAACCCUCCAAAAUGAUGGUAUUAAUAGGUGGGGCCUUAGGGAGGUGAUUAGGUCAUGAGGGAGGAGCCUUCAUGAAUGGGAUUAGAACUCUUAUCAAAGAGAUCCCACAGAGCUCCCUAGGGCCUUCCACCAUGUGAGGAUACAAUGAUAAGUCUGCAACCCAGAAGAGGGUUCUCACCGACCAUGCUGGCAGCCUCCAGAAUUCAUCCAACUCAGCUCCUUGUCUGAAGACCACGCUCGGGAAAGCCAGGUGAAGACCCAAGAGGGCCAGAAGAGAUGUGAAGAUAUUUUAUAACAGAAUGUGAAAUACAGUAUUUAUUGAUGAAAAAAUAAAGCCAAUGGUAGUUCAGACUUGUUUAAAGUGACAUCGGGACUUCCCUGGUGGUACAGUGGUGAAGAAUCUGCCUGCCAAUGCAGGGGACACAAGUUCAAUCCCCGGUCCAGGAAGACCCCAUGUGCCGCGGAGCAAUUAAGCCCAUGUGCCACAGCUACUGAGCCUGCGCUCUAGAGCUUGCGAGCCACAACUACUGAAGCCCACACGCCCUAGAGCCCAUGCACUGCAACUACUGGGCCUGUAUGCUGCGACUACUGACGCCUGCGCGCCUAGAGCCUGUGCUCUGCAACAAGAGGAGCCACUGCAAUGAGAAGCCCACGCACUACAACGAAGAGUAGCCUCCGCUUGCUGCAACUAGAGAAAGCCCGCGCACAGCAAUGAAGACCCAACACAGGCAAAAAAUAAAUAAUAAAUAAAUAAAUAAAGUAACAUCAUCAUUGACUGAAUUAUUCAUUGUAUCUAGCUAUUUCCUGAACAGUGUAUAUAACC